CUACCAUGGUGGUAACGGGUGACGGAGGAUUAGGGUUCGAUUCCGGAGAGGUAGCCUGAGAAACGGCUACCACAUCCAAGGAAGGCAGCAGGCGCGCAAAAUACCCAAUCCUGACACAGGGAGGUAGUGACAAUAAAUAACAAUACCGGGCUUUUCAAGUCUGCUAAUUGGAAUGAGUACAAUCUAAAUCCCUUAACGAGGAGCAAUUGGAGGGCAAGUCUGGUGCCAGCAGCCGCGGUAAUUCCAGCUCCAAUAGCGUAUAUUUAAGUUGUUGCAGUUAAAAAGCUCGUAGUUGGAUUUCGGGUGGGCUCCACCGGUCCGCCUUUCAGGUGUGCACUGGCGGGGCCUACCUUGCUGCCGGGGACGGGCUCCUGGGCUUAACUGUCCGGGACUCGGAGUCGGCGAGGUUACUUUGAGU
rnacentral:rRNA from 1 species